UUUUAUGCUCAAUACAGAUGGUGCGUGUGAUGGGACUUUAAGGAAAGCGGGACUAGGCAGAGUUAUUCGCGACCAUGAUGGGAAUUGGGUGAUGGGCUUCUACGAAACGUGCCCCUGCACUUCCCCUUUGCAAGCUGAACUGCUCUCCCUCAAAAGAGGCCUUGAGCUGUGAUACGAGCACGAUCAUAAAGAUGGACAUUUUUUAGGGUGUUGAAUGCAACCUACGGAGUGUACGAGUUGAAGUGUGAAAAGGGCUCCAAAGCCGCCCUUAUAUUGCGCUCCAUGGGCACCAUUUUGUCCAUUUAACACUAAGGGGCACUUUUGUCAUUUUAUCUAUUAUUUGUAUUAGCCUAUAUAAAGAACAUGUUGGGGUUUUAGCUCAUUAGUUGUUGAAUAUUGAUGAAAGAAUACUUUUCUUGAGAGAGAGGGCCUCCCUAGGCCGAAACUACGACAUGAGCAAGUGUGGACUCACUUGAGCAAGUGUGGACUCACUUGUGAAUGUGUAUUACUUGGAAAGUUGGUGCUUGAGCGGUGAAAUUCCUAUCGUGUCUUCGUAAGGGUGUGGUGUUGCUAUUGUAAGUCCUAGGGGUCCUUAGAUUUAAUAUAUCUUUGGGUUCCUGGGUUCCUAAUCUUGUAAUAGUGUAUGUCUCACUUUCUAUCUCUACAUUUCAUGUCUUAGUUUGUGUUGUCUAGUGA
rnacentral:lncRNA from 1 species